AGAAUGAACGUUGGCGGCGUGGAUUAGGCAUGCAAGUCGAUCGCUCCGCAAGGGGCGAGGCGCAAGGGUGAGUAAGGCGACGGCAACCAACCCCGGGAUUGGGCAUAGCCGCGGGAAACCGCGGGUAAUUCCCAGCGAUGUUUCGAGAGGCAUCUCUUGAAAACCAAAGCUCCGGCGUCGCGGGACGGACCGUCGUGGUAUCAGCUUGUUGGCGGGGUAAUGGCCCACCAAGGCAUUGACGCCUACCGGGCGUGCGAGCGUGGCCCGGCACACUGGGACUGAGACACUGCCCAGACUCCUACGGGAGGCUGCAGUCGAGAAUCUUCGGCAAUGGGCGCAAGCCUGACCGAGCGACGCCGCGUGGAGGACGAAGGCCUUCGGGUUGUAAACUCCUGUCGAGGGGGAAGAAGGGCCUUAAAACCUUGACUGAUCCCUGGAGGAAGCACGGGCUAAGUUCGCGCCAGCAGCCGC
rnacentral:rRNA from 1 species